GUUGCCGAUUCACUCUAAUGAUUGUUUCUUUUGCUGUGCAGAAGCUCCGAAGUUGAAUUAGGUCCCAUCUAGUUAUUUUUGUUUUUGUUGCAUUUGCUUUUGGGUUCUUAGUCAUGAAUUCUUUGCCUAAGUCAAUGUC